UGGCGAGUGGCAGACGGGUGAGUAUACAUCGGAACGUGUCCUGUAGUGGGGGAUAGCCCGGCGAAAGCCGGAUUAAUACCGCAUACGAUCUACGGAAGAAAGCGGGGGAUCGCAAGACCUCGCGCUAUAGGGGCGGCCGAUGGCAGAUUAGCUAGUUGGUGGGGUAAAGGCCUACCAAGGCGACGAUCUGUAGCUGGUCUGAGAGGACGACCAGCCACACUGGGACUGAGACACGGCCCAGACUCCUACGGGAGGCAGCAGUGGGGAAUUUUGGACAAUGGGGGAAACCCUGAUCCAGCAAUGCCGCGUGUGUGAAGAAGGCCUUCGGGUUGUAAAGCACUUUUGUCCGGAAAGAAAACUUCUGCCCUAAUACGGUGGGAGGAUGACGGUACCGGAAGAAUAAGCACCGGCUAACUACGUGCCAGCAGCCGCGGUAAUACGUAGGGUGCGAGCGUUAAUCGGAAUUACUGGGCGUAAAGCGUGCGCAGGCGGUUCGUUAAGACAGAUGUGAAAUCCCCGGGCUUAACCUGGGAACUGCAUUUGUGACUGGCGAGCUAGAGUAUGGCAGAGGGGGGUAGAAUUCCACGUGUAGCAGUGAAAUGCGUAGAGAUGUGGAGGAAUACCGAUGGCGAAGGCAGCCCCCUGGGCCAAUACUGACGCUCAUGCACGAGAGCGUGAGGAGCAAACAGGAUUAGAUACCCUGGUAGUCCACGCCCUAAACGAUGUCAACUAGUUGUUGGGGAUUCAUUUCCUUAGUAACGUAGCUAACGCGUGAAGUUGACCGCCU
rnacentral:rRNA from 1 species